GGGUUGUGAGGUUAAGCGACUAAGCGUACACGGUGGAUGCCCUGGCAGUCAGAGGCGAUGAAGGACGUGCUAAUCUGCGAUAAGCGUCGGUAAGGUGAUAUGAACCGUUAUAACCGGCGAUUUCCGAAUGGGGAAACCCAGUGUGAUUCGUCACACUAUCAUUAACUGAAUCCAUAGGUUAAUGAGGCGAACCGGGGGAACUGAAACAUCUAAGUACCCCGAGGAAAAGAAAUCAACCGAGAUUCCCCCAGUAGCGGCGAGCGAACGGGGAGCAGCCCAGAGCCUGAAUCAGUGUGUGUGUUAGUGGAAGCGUCUGGAAAGGCGUGCGAUACAGGGUGACAGCCCCGUACACAAAAAUGCACAUGCUGUGAGCUCGAUGAGUAGGGCGGGACACGUGGUAUCCUGUCUGAAUAUGGGGGGACCAUCCUCCAAGGCUAAAUACUCCUGACUGACCGAUAGUGAACCAGUACCGUGAGGGAAAGGCGAAAAGAACCCCGGCGAGGGGAGUGAAAAAGAACCUGAAACCGUGUACGUACAAGCAGUGGGAGCACAGAGCAAUCUGUGUGACUGCGUACCUUUUGUAUAAUGGGUCAGCGACUUAUAUUCUGUAGCAAGGUUAACCGAAUAGGGGAGCCGAAGGGAAACCGAGUCUUAACUGGGCGUUAAGUUGCAGGGUAUAGACCCGAAACCCGGUGAUCUAGCCAUGGGCAGGUUGAAGGUUGGGUAACACUAACUGGAGGACCGAACCGACUAAUGUUGAAAAAUUAGCGGAUGACUUGUGGCUGGGGGUGAAAGGCCAAUCAAACCGGGAGAUAGCUGGUUCUCCCCGAAAGCUAUUUAGGUAGCGCCUCGUGAAUUCAUCUCCGGGGGUAGAGCACUGUUUCGGCAAGGGGGUCAUCCCGACUUACCAACCCGAUGCAAACUGCGAAUACCGGAGAAUGUUAUCACGGGAGACACACGGCGGGUGCUAACGUCCGUCGUGAAGAGGGAAACAACCCAGACCGCCAGCUAAGGUCCCAAAGUCAUGGUUAAGUGGGAAACGAUGUGGGAAGGCCCAGACAGCCAGGAUGUUGGCUUAGAAGCAGCCAUCAUUUAAAGAAAGCGUAAUAGCUCACUGGUCGAGUCGGCCUGCGCGGAAGAUGUAACGGGGCUAAACCAUGCACCGAAGCUGCGGCAGCGACGCUUAUGCGUUGUUGGGUAGGGGAGCGUUCUGUAAGCCUGCGAAGGUGUGCUGUGAGGCAUGCUGGAGGUAUCAGAAGUGCGAAUGCUGACAUAAGUAACGAUAAAGCGGGUGAAAAGCCCGCUCGCCGGAAGACCAAGGGUUCCUGUCCAACGUUAAUCGGGGCAGGGUGAGUCGACCCCUAAGGCGAGGCCGAAAGGCGUAGUCGAUGGGAAACAGGUUAAUAUUCCUGUACUUGGUGUUACUGCGAAGGGGGGACGGAGAAGGCUAUGUUGGCCGGGCGACGGUUGUCCCGGUUUAAGCGUGUAGGCUGGUUUUCCAGGCAAAUCCGGAAAAUCAAGGCUGAGGCGUGAUGACGAGGCACUACGGUGCUGAAGCAACAAAUGCCCUGCUUCCAGGAAAAGCCUCUAAGCAUCAGGUAACAUCAAAUCGUACCCCAAACCGACACAGGUGGUCAGGUAGAGAAUACCAAGGCGCUUGAGAGAACUCGGGUGAAGGAACUAGGCAAAAUGGUGCCGUAACUUCGGGAGAAGGCACGCUGAUAUGUAGGUGAAGUCCCUCGCGGAUGGAGCUGAAAUCAGUCGAAGAUACCAGCUGGCUGCAACUGUUUAUUAAAAACACAGCACUGUGCAAACACGAAAGUGGACGUAUACGGUGUGACGCCUGCCCGGUGCCGGAAGGUUAAUUGAUGGGGUCAGCGCAAGCGAAGCUCUUGAUCGAAGCCCCGGUAAACGGCGGCCGUAACUAUAACGGUCCUAAGGUAGCGAAAUUCCUUGUCGGGUAAGUUCCGACCUGCACGAAUGGCGUAAUGAUGGCCAGGCUGUCUCCACCCGAGACUCAGUGAAAUUGAACUCGCUGUGAAGAUGCAGUGUACCCGCGGCAAGACGGAAAGACCCCGUGAACCUUUACUAUAGCUUGACACUGAACAUUGAGCCUUGAUGUGUAGGAUAGGUGGGAGGCUUUGAAGUGUGGACGCCAGUCUGCAUGGAGCCGACCUUGAAAUACCACCCUUUAAUGUUUGAUGUUCUAACGUUGACCCGUAAUCCGGGUUGCGGACAGUGUCUGGUGGGUAGUUUGACUGGGGCGGUCUCCUCCUAAAGAGUAACGGAGGAGCACGAAGGUUGGCUAAUCCUGGUCGGACAUCAGGAGGUUAGUGCAAUGGCAUAAGCCAGCUUGACUGCGAGCGUGACGGCGCGAGCAGGUGCGAAAGCAGGUCAUAGUGAUCCGGUGGUUCUGAAUGGAAGGGCCAUCGCUCAACGGAUAAAAGGUACUCCGGGGAUAACAGGCUGAUACCGCCCAAGAGUUCAUAUCGACGGCGGUGUUUGGCACCUCGAUGUCGGCUCAUCACAUCCUGGGGCUGAAGUAGGUCCCAAGGGUAUGGCUGUUCGCCAUUUAAAGUGGUACGCGAGCUGGGUUUAGAACGUCGUGAGACAGUUCGGUCCCUAUCUGCCGUGGGCGCUGGAGAACUGAGGGGGGCUGCUCCUAGUACGAGAGGACCGGAGUGGACGCAUCACUGGUGUUCGGGUUGUCAUGCCAAUGGCACUGCCCGGUAGCUAAAUGCGGAAGAGAUAAGUGCUGAAAGCAUCUAAGCACGAAACUUGCCCCGAGAUGAGUUCUCCCUGACUCCUUGAGAGUCCUGAAGGAACGUUGAAGACGACGACGUUGAUAGGCCGGGUGUGUAAGCGCAGCGAUGCGUUGAGCUAACCGGUACUAAUGAACCGUGAGGCUUAACCUUACAACGCCGAAGGUGUUU
rnacentral:rRNA from 1 species